rnacentral:rRNA from 1 species
UUGGAGGGCAAGUCUGGUGCCAGCAGCCGCGGUAAUUCCAGCUCCAAUAGCGUAUAUUAAAGUUGUUGCAGUUAAAAAGCUCGUAGUUGAAUUUCGGGGUCAGCAGGUUGGUCGUGCCAAUGGUAUGCACUGGCCUUGCUGAUUCCUCCCUCUUGAUGAGCCGUAAUGUCAUUAAUUUGGUGUUGCGGGGAAUCAGGACUGUUACUUUGAAAAAAUUAGAGUGUUUAAAGCAGGCAAGCGCUUGAAUACAUUAGCAUAGAAUAAUGAAAUAGGACGUUUGAUCCUAUUUUGUUGGUUUCUAGGAUUGACGUAAUGAUUAAUAGGGAUAGUUGGGGGCAUUAGUAUUCAAUUGUCAGAGGUGAAAUUCUUGGAUUUAUUGAAGACUAACUACUGCGAAAGCAUUUGCCAAGGAUGUUUUCAUUAAUCAAGAACGAAAGUUAGGGGAUCGAAGACGAUCAGAUACCGUCGUAGUCUUAACCAUAAACUAUGCCGACUAGGGAUCGGAUGAUGUUAAUUUUUUAAUGACUCAUUCGGCACCUUACGGGAAAC